AUGUAACAAGAGUUCUGAAAAACAGAUGGAAAUGGACCUAACAGGUGUUAACUGAUUUCAACUCACCAUGCUGAAAAACAGCACAGAUCCAAGUUCAGAUCCUGCCUUCGCGUCCUCAUCAGCCACGUGGGACGACAGCUGUCCACUUCCGCAGGGCCGUUGUGAGGACGAAGGGUGACACAGCACAGAGGGUGUUGGAGAUACUCAGUGAAUAUUUGCCUAGCCUGUCCUCUGGCCUACACUUCCGCCGCGCAGCGUACUAAGUCCAGCACCACGGAGCAGGUGCUGAGGAAGAGAGAGGGGCGCAGGCCCGAGCAGCCGGCUCUGAGAGCACUGCCCAAGGCUCCCAGGCUGGCGUGAGAGCACCGUGUGACCUCCGCAGUGUCACGGAGGGAAGCGCGUGCACACCGUCAUCUUCCUGUGAACAUAGUAAUGAAACAGUGUGGUGCUUGCCGAGCCUCGACAGAGCGGGAGAGAACAGUGCCAGACGGGGUAGAAGGACUGGGUGCUGGCACUACCCAGCACUUCUUCCUGGCGCUACAUGGCUCUGAAGCAAUCUCUCUGCAGGCAGUAAUUGCACAGCUUAAUUCUUCUAGACUGAACCACUUCAGAUUUAUGCCAGCGAAAAGCAAACGUCGUUUAGCUUGGAUUUAAAUCACAAUAACACUGAGGGAAGAUGAAUGACAGUGCUAUUGAAUGUGGCUAAAAUUGGAUACUUCAGCACAGGGCUCUCUCUGGGUUCCCGAAGAGCCACUCUGGAGGACUGUGCGACUGAAGACCAGCCUUCUGCGGGACAAGGCAGCCCUGCCCCAGAGCGGGCAAUGUCCCGGCUGAAACACAGCCAGCUCUGCUCCUGUGUCCUCCACUGCCACAGCUCAGCUCGGGGCACGGCUUCUCUUUCCUCCUGUGGACCUCCCGGUUCCCACUCUUACCUUCUCG